rnacentral:misc_RNA from 1 species
AACUUUUGGCGACGGAUCUCUUGGUUCUGGCAUCGAUGAAGAACGCAGCGAAAUGCGAUAAGUAAUGUGAAUUGCAGAAUUCAGCGAAUCAUCGAAUCUUUGAACGCACAUUUCGCCUCCGGGUAUUCCCGGAGGCAUGCUUGUUCGAGCGUCGUUAAAGACCAUAAGGCUUUGCCUUGCGAUGAGCCAUUGAUUUUUAUGUUUUUACGAAACAAAAAGAGUUGAUGGCUUCAAACUGAUUGGCGUCUGAAGUUUAGCCCAAGCACAGCAAAAUGUGUCUGAAAGUUAGACGAGAAAAGACUUUGCCUUGUACACCAAAUUUUUAAAGGUCGACCUCGGAUCAAGCAAGAUUACCCGCUGAACUUAAGCAUAUCAAUAAGCGGAGGCCU